rnacentral:lncRNA from 1 species
GCCUCCCGGGUUGACGCCAUUCUCCUGCCUCAGCCUCCCGAGUAGCUGUAGCUGGGACUACAGGCGCCCGCCGCCACGCCCGGCUAAUUUUUUGUAUUUUUAGUGGACACGGGGUUUCACCGUGUUAGCCAGGAUGGUCUCUAUCUCCUGACCUCGUGACCCGCCCGCCUCGGCCUCCCAAAGUGCUGGGAUUACAGGCGUGAGCCACGGCGCCCGGCCUGACAUUUCUAAUAGUGCAUGUAUUAAGAUGAAGAAGGAGGAGGAUUGGAGAACUGAGUAAAGGAAGAGGAGGACGAAGAAAGAAAAAGAAACCGAGGGACCAUUUUAAAUAAAAGAUAAAUCAAGAGAAAACUGUCUUACCAGAUUGCAUUCCCCAAAGUGAGGGCAGUCCAGAGUGGCACACCAAAGUAUUUCUGAUGCCAGAACUUCACCAUCAGAGACAGCAGUCCUCUUCCCUGGCCUGGACAAGAUCCCCAAGGUACUCACAAUACUUCUCAUGGAUUGAGGCAUGAAAAGGUCUCCUGAUGAAGGACUCAAGUUGGUGGAGAAGCUGAUCGUCCACCUCGAUCUCACUUUUUCCAGUGUAGAAAUGAUGCUAGGCAUUGAAAAUUGUAAGAGGAGAGGAAUUAGACUCCCAUAUGCAAGAGGAAAGGAAUUAGACCAACAUUCAAAGAGAAGAAUGCUAAAGGAUUUGAAAAUAUAUUUUAAAACCACCAUAAAAAGCGUCACAAAGUAUCUCCACAAACUUCUCUCUAACUACCUGUUUUGCUGCACCCCACAAGUUUGG